AAUGGAGGAAACUCUGAUGCAGCAACGCCGCGUGGAGGACGAAGGUUUUCGGAUUGUAAACUCCUGUCUUUUGGGACGAUAAUGACGGUACCAAAAGAGGAAGCCACGGCUAACUACGUGCCAGCAGCCGCGGUAAUACGUAGGUGGCGAGCGUUGUCCGGAAUUACUGGGCGUAAAGGGCGCGUAGGCGGGAAUGCAAGUUGAAUGUCAAAUCUAUCGGCUCAACCGAUAGCCGCGUUCAAAACUGCAUUUCUUGAGUGAAGUAGAGGUUGGCGGAAUUCCUAGUGUAGCGGUGAAAUGCGUAGAUAUUAGGAGGAACACCAGUGGCGAAGGCGGCCAACUGGGCUUUAACUGACGCUGAGGCGCGAAAGCGUGGGGAGCAAA
rnacentral:rRNA from 1 species